GAUGAAGAACGCAGCGAAAUGCGAUACUUGGUGUGAAUUGCAGAAUCCCGUGAACCAUCGAGUCUUUGAACGCAAGUUGCGCCCGAAGCCAUUAGGCCGAGGGCACGCCUGCCUGGGCGUCACACGUCGUUGCCCCCCCAUCUACUCCUUCGGGAUUGCGGGGGGCGGAUGAUGGCCUCCCGUGCGCCUUGUCGCGCGGUUGGCAUAAAUGCCAAGUCCUCGGCGACGCACGCCACGACAAUCGGUGGUUGCGAAACCUCGGUUGCCCGUCGUGUGCGGUCGUCGCGCAUCGAGGGCUCGAAAAAAUUGCCGGGUUCCGGCUCGGCUUUCAACGCGACCCCAGGUCAGGCGGGGUUACCCGCUGAAUUUAAGCAUAUCAUAAGCGGAGGA
rnacentral:misc_RNA from 1 species